CCUACGGGAUGCAGCAGUGGGGAAUAUUGCACAAUGGGGGAAACCCUGAUGCAGCGACGCCGCGUGAGUGAAGAAGUACUUCGUUAUGUAAAGCUCUAUCAGCAGGGAAGAAAAUGACGGUACCUGAGUAAGAAGCCCCGGCUAACUACGUGACAGCAGCCGCGGUAAUACGUAGGGGGCAGGCGUUAUCCGGAUUUACUGGGUGUAAAGGGAGCGUAGACGGCAGUGCAAGUCUGGAGUGAAAGGCGGGGGCGCAACCCCCGGACUGCUCUGGAAACUGUACGGCUGGAGUGCAGGAGAGGUAAGUGGAAUUCCUGGUGUAGCGGUGAAAUGCGUAGAUAUUACGAGGAACACCAGUGGCGAAGGCGGCUUACUGGACUGUAACUGACGUUGAGGCUCGAAAGCGUGGGGAGCAAACAGGAUUAGAUACCCGUGUAGUC
rnacentral:rRNA from 1 species